rnacentral:rRNA from 1 species
AUUGAACGCUGGCGGCAUGCCUUACACAUGCAAAUCGAACGGUAACGGGCCUUCGGGUGCCGACGAGUGGCGAACGGGUGAGUAAUACAUCGGAACGUGCCCGAUCGUGGGGAUAACGAGGCGAAAGCUUUGCUAAUACCGCAUACGAUCUACGGAUGAAAGCAGGGGACCGCAAGGCCUUGCGCGGACGGAGCGGCCGAUGGCAGAUUAGGUAGUUGGUGGGAUAAAAGCUUACCAAGCCGACGAUCUGUAGCUGGUCUGAGAGGAUGAUCAGCCACACUGGGACUGAGACACGGCCCAGACUCCUACGGGAGGCAGCAGUGGGGAAUUUUGGACAAUGGGCGCAAGCCUGAUCCAGCCAUGCCGCGUGCAGGAUGAAGGCCUUCGGGUUGUAAACUGAUUUUGUACGGAACGAAAAGCCUUCUUUUAAUACAGGAGGGUCAUGACGGUACCGUAAGAAUAAGCACCGGCUAACUACGUG